rnacentral:tRNA from 1 species
CGUCAAGUAGCUCAGUGGUUUAGAGCAGUCGCCCGGCAAGCGACAGGCCUGGGUUCGAUUCCCGGUCUAGCGA